rnacentral:rRNA from 1 species
GACGAACGCUGGCGGCGUGCCUAAUACAUGCAAGUAGGACGCAGUUGCGAACGGGUGAUUAACGCGUAGGUAACUACCUAUUAGAGGGGGAUAACUAUUGGAAACGAUAGCUAAUACCGCAUAAUAGUAGAUGGACAUGCGUUGUAUUAGCUAGUAGGUAGGGUAAUGGCCUAACUAGGCAACGAGACAUAGCGGACCUGAGGGGGGGAGGGGCCAAACUGGGACUGGGACACGGCCCAGACUACUACGGGGUGCAGCAGUAGGGAAUCUUCGGCAAUGGGGGGAACCCUGACCGAGCAACGCCGCGUGAGUGAAGAAGGUUUUCGGAGUGUAAAGCUCUGUUGUGAAGGAAGCGGUACUUAACCAGAAAGGGACGGCUAACUACGUGCCAGCAGCCGCGGUAAUAC